rnacentral:lncRNA from 1 species
CCUAGAAGCUUGCUUAGCCGGCGACAAUGGAACUUACGUUGUUUGGUCGCGGGGACCUUUUGAUAUGAGGUCCAGAGGCUUUUAUUUGGUUAACUAUUUUGGAUCCGUCUUUGAAUCGAGUUAAAAUUCAAGCUUUCUUUAAUCCACAACUUGUCAAUUUUUAAGCCGGCGACUAUGACACUUGCACUGUUUGAUGUGAGACCCGAAGGCAUGCUUAGUCGGCGACAAUGGAAUUUACGCAAUUUGAUGUGAGACCCGGAGGCUUUUUGUUGGCUUUGUUUCCUCUCGUUAAGGUCUUAUUGAUUAUUUAGCCAGACUAAUCGUCGGUUC